ensembl:lncRNA
CAAAACAGAGAAGAGUGAGAGUGAAGGAGAAAAAUGCCAGAGAGCAACCAGUAGUCAGAGAACUCGAGGAGAUUUUCAUGAGUGAGUCUCUAGCAUGGUGAAGGGCAGAAAAACCCUGGGAAGGAGAGAAACAGAGAUACAACCUAACAGAAGCAGAAGAUAUUAAGAAGAGAUGGCAAGAAUACACAGAAGAACUGUACAAAAAAGAUCUUCAUGACCCAGAUAAUCACGAUGGUGUGAUCACUGACCUAGAGCCAGACAUCCUGGAAUGUGAAGUCAAGUGGGCCUUAGAAAGCAUCACUAUGAACAAAGCUAGUGGAGGUGAUAGAAUUCCAGUUGAGCUAUUCCAUAUCCUGAAAGAUGAUGCUGUGAAAGUGCUGCACUCAAUAUGCCAGCAAAUUUGGAAAACUCAGCAGUGGCCACAGGACUGGAAAAGGUCAGUUUUCAUUCCAAUCCCAAAGAAAGGCAAUGCCAAAGAAUGCUUAAACUACCGCACAAUUGCACUCAUCUCACAUGCUAGUAAAGUAAUGCUCAAAAUUCUCCAAGCCAGGCUUCAGCAAUAUGUGAACCAUGAACUUCCUGAUGUUCAAGCUGGUUUUAGAAAAGGCAGAGGAACCAGAGAUCAAAUUGCCAACAUCCGCUGGAUCAUCGAAAAAGCAAGAGAGUUCCAGAAAAACAUCUAUUUCUGCUUUACUGACUAUGCCAAAGCCUUUGACUAUGUGGAUCACAGUAAACUGUGGAAAAUUCUUCAAGAGAUGGAAUACCAGACCACCUGAUCUGCCUCUUGAGAAAUUUGUAUGCAGGUCAGGAAGCAAUAGUUAGAACUGGACAUGGAACAAUAGACUGGUUCCAAAUAGGAAAAGGAGUUUGUCAAGGCUGUAUAUUGUCACCCUGCUUAUUUAACUUAUAUGCAGAGUACAUCAUGAGAAACGCUGGACUGGAAGAAACACAAGCUGGAAUCAAGAUUGCCAGGAGAAAUAUCAAUAACCUCAGAUAUGCAGAUGACACCACCCUUAUGGCAGAAAGUGAGGAGGAACUCAAAAGCCUCUUGAUGAAAGUGAAAGUCGAGAGUGAAAAGGUUGGCUUAAAGCUCAACAUUCAGAAAACGAAGAUCAUGGCAUCCGGUCCCACCACUUCAUGGGAAAUAGAUGGGGAAACAGUGGAAACAGUGUCAGACUUUAUUUUUCUGGGCUCCAAAAUCACUACAGAUGGUGACUGCAGCCAUGAAAUUAAAAGACGCCUACUCCUUGGAAGGAAAGUUAUGACCAACCUAAACAGCAUAUUCAAAAGCAGAGACAUUACUUUGCCAACAAAGGUUCGUCUAGUCAAGGCUAUGGUUUUUCCUGUGGUCAUGUAUGGAUGUGAGAGCUGGAC